rnacentral:lncRNA from 1 species
UUAUCGAUGGCGAACGAGGAAACCGCCCAAGAAUCUAUUCACUGGAGCAACUGCUGCAGGAAGCUGUCCUGGAUGUACGUCCAGAGUCAGAGGCUGUACUCACUGAAGGGACAAGGGUGUGUGCUUACUGGAGUGAACGAUCACGCUGCUUAUACCCCGGCUACGUUCGCAGAGGUGGUUCAUCUGAAGAGGGGAAGCCAGGAGGAGUGAUGGUGGAGUUUGAUGAUGGAGACCGAGGAAAGAUUUCCCUCCAAAACAUUCGCCUCCUACCUCCAGGAUAUCAGAUUCACUGUGGGGAGUCGCCUCCUGCCCUUCUACCCAGUGGGACAACAGCCAAAAGAAGUUCAAGUCUGGAGCAGGCCCCAUUAGUGAAAGACCCUCUGACAGACUCAGCACUAUUAAUACUGUUACCAGCAACCAAACUGUUCACAAAAGGAG